rnacentral:rRNA from 1 species
GUGGAUGGGUACCUUAGGAGGACUGCCGCUGCCAAAGCGGAGGAAGGAACGGGCAACGGUAGGUCAGUAUGCCCCGAAUGAGCUGGGCUACACGCGGGCUACAAUGGUCGGGACAAUGGGAUGCCACCUCGAGAGGGGGCGGUAAUCUCCGAAACCCGAUCGUAGUUCGGAUUGAGGGCUGAAACUCGCCCUC